AGGACAACCCUACCUAUGUAACAACCAUUGCUCAUCUGAAACACAGAUUUGUUGGUGUGCUGCAGUUUUUGGCUAAAUCUGGCAGCAUGAUUAGAGGAUCUAGAACAGUGAUAAUGUUCUGGGGCUGGUGUUCCUGGUCCCAAACCUGGGUGUGCAUAUAGCCACCACAGAGCUCACUGUGAUUUGGUGGUCGCCUCUCUAAAAUGUGGAUCACGAUAUGACCUCAUCUGAUAGGUCUACUUGACAACGCAGUGUUGGUCCCUUCCAGUGGACACAGGCUGGAAAAAGGAAAUGGCUCUCACUAGAUAAUGAACCUACUGGCACCUUGAUCUUGGACUUCCCGCCGCCAGAACUGUGAGAAAGAAAUACAUGUUCUUCAUAAAUUACCCAGCCUCAGAGAGAAUAAGAAGAGGAUUCGCGUCCAAAAAUUGCUCAGAGAAGAGCCAGGGAGCAUUUGGUGUUGCGCUUAUUUACAUCUUCCACUAGGUGGCAGCAUGUUACCAAACACGAGAGCUGUCUCCCAGGCCACAUGCUGUGCCAUGCAAAAGGAGAUCUCUCCCCUACCACCUUCAAAGACUCCAUAAAUUCCACGGGCUUCACAAAGAGAAAUCAGAAUCAAUGAAACCACUUCUGAGCAGUGACUGUUUUACUAUCUUUGAAGGAGGUUCUUAACCACAGGGCAAGCACACGUGAACAUGAGAAGGUUAGACCCUGCAAUUCAUUAAGAGAGAGAUGUGUCAAUAGUUUCCAAGUGGGGAUCAUCUUAGAUGACUGCAUUGAUUGUGGUUAUCAAGCAAGACUUUCAGGAGUCACAAAAUAUGUAAGUUAUAACACAGACCAUGAGUGGAAAACCCAUGAAGAUAGCUGGCCACUAUGCUAUGUAGAAAAUGGUCCACUGCCUAUGCACAUGCCUACGCUCACUCCUUAGCAAGCAAUAGACAUUUGUGCUGGUUGGUUUUUGUCAACUUGACACAGCCUAGGCAUAUCUGGGAAGAAGGAAUCUUCACUGAGAAAAUGCCUCCAUAAGAUUGU